GGGAGUAUAGCUCAGCCUGGUCAGAGCAUUGGUCUUAUACACCAAGGGUCGAGAGUUCGAAUCUCUCUACUCCCA
rnacentral:tRNA from 1 species